rnacentral:lncRNA from 1 species
CUUAAUGAGGCCUACUAGGUAGUGGUAUAUCAAAAUAUUGCUCUCCCUUCUUAUGCUUCUACUUAACUUUCUACACAUUUUGGCAAUGGUAGCUCAUGAAAGAAAACUGAGAGAUGGUUCAAGAGUUUCUUUAUGAGGCUGAGGUCCCUGGGCCCUGCAGAAGGACAGAUGUAAGAAAACUUGGCAAAGUUCACAGCUGCUCCAUGGCCACACAUUGAUGAAUGUAUCCCAUGUCCUUGGCUUCCUUACAUAAUUUCAAUCUUGCUGUGGGAGGAUUGCCAAAACUUCAAGUAUUUAUCUGAUGAUUAAAUGGCUGCUACUGCCAGCACACCAAAAAUAGUAGGUGUUGGAGGAUAUCAGAAAUCAAAGUUCUAUUAAACAGAUCUAUACGAAGUACGUAUUGUGUGGUCAACACUGUGAUAACCACCAUGGAGUUUUAAACUAUAUGAAAACUCUUCGACCCAAAAAACUGAUGAUGCAUUAAAUAACUGGAGUAAGCACAGGGCAGCAUAUAAUAAAGAAUUAAAAUGAGUGCUAUAGGGUACAGAAAAUGAUUAUGAUUAUACCUCAUACAUACCUUACUAUUAAAUAACAAAAAUUUAAAAAUAUAAGGUGCUUAAAUUAGAUGAAAUGCAUUCACACACAAUACCUCUUUGACUCUUACAACCACAUGGUGAGGUAGGUGAGGGAGAUAUUAUUAACGCCACUUACAGAUGAGGAAACUAUAACCAAAGAGGUCAAGGGGCUUAGGCAAGGGCACCCUGCAGAUACACGGCAGAAUUCCAGACGGCAGCCAUGGUGCUCUCUCCUGGUUCCAUAAUCUUGCUGCCAUACCAUGCUGCCUUUUCCUUGCCAUGGGAGGGAGAAGAAAGAAGAAUUUGGAGGGUGAACUGUAAAGGAUAUUGUUGAAUGAAAAAUAGGAUGUAAGAUUUUCAUGGGGAAAGGCAAAUAGUGGCAGGGGCAAAGAGCAUGACCACAGGUUUAGAGGCAGAGACUAGAAGAAUGAUUUCGUGAAAUGGAUUAUGUAUUAGAAGGAAGUGUAUUAGAAGGAAAACAGGGUAUGAUAGGAAAAUGGAAUUAUCCAUGGAGGAUUCAGAAAGUCAGGAGUUGAGUUAGAGUCUUUCAAGCAAUGAGACUUUUUUGCAAAGGAGACUGCCAAGAUCAAUGCAAAGUUUAAGGAAGUUGAUACAGUGUUCUCCUGUGCUAGAUGGGUUCAAGGGAUGGAAGGUGGGAGGCAAAGAGUCUGGGUUUCUGGAAUCCAGCAGAGAGUGGCUGGGGGCCUGAUGUAGUUCUGAGAUAUUAAGGUGGGUAUCCUGGCAGAAUUCAUCACAGAUGCAUCUGUCAUCUCAUGUCACUGAACAACAGCAAAGCUGAACGACUCUGGCUACAAGGGAUAGGGGAUUUGGUGUUUACAAACUUAACAUGGAUUAAGCCAUUUUAGGUUGGUUCGCUUAAAACCUAUAAGAUACGCCGUCUCCAGGAUUCAGGAUUAACAAAGGUAAAAUUACCUGCAUUUUCAGGCCUCCAUUUAAUGUGACUUCCUGAACUCAGCCAGUCUAUUAUUAGACUGGAAUGGAUGGGGGCCC